AUGCUCCCGGGAUAGUCAUAAUUCAUGGUAGCCGAAGUGAGUUCCCGAAGAGACCGGUUGGCAUUCUCAACUUCUUGUUCUCGUAACCGGAGGGUGAUCCCCUCUUGGAUUCUCGCCUCAAUGUGGGCUUCAAUCUCCUCGUCCGUCAUACAGCCACCCAUGACGGUGUCUCCUGUGAGACUAACCUGAAAGUGUGACACUCAAACAGAGAAAGAUUAGUAGCACCAAUUCUAG
rnacentral:lncRNA from 1 species